GCAGUGAGUGCAGCUUUGACCUCAGCGUUCCCGGACAGUUUGGCAUAGUGUGUGACAUCGUGGCCCUGUGAGUCCACAGCUGACAGAUCUGCUCCUCGCUGAACCAAAACUUCUACAACAGACACAGCACUGGACUCACAGGCAAGCAUCAAGGCUGUCCUGCAACACGGGAACAUACACAUAUUGAUCACUAAUACAUCAUCUCCCAAUCAUCCAAGAACAGCCCCACAGUCCAGCAAAGAGCUGCACACUUCAGCAUGAGCGUGUUUGGCCGACAACAGCAAGGGGGUGAGUCCCUCCUUUGGGAAAAACAGAGAUUAUAAAGCAUUAGAUAUGGCUGAUUUCAUCAUAUAGAGGGACCUUAAACCAACAUAACACACAGCUAUAUAAUUCAUCCUGUAUGACAUCAGGUCGUGGGCCUUGACAUGCAGUAUUUAAAGUGUCUGUGUGGUGAGAGAAAUCUCAGAUCCAUGUGAAGAAGGAGUGGAUGUCUCUUAAAUGAAUUUCCCAGAAAAUAAGAGGAAAGGCAAACAUUCAGCGUUGAGUUUGGGAAAGUCCCCUGAAAUGAUGUAUUUACAGUUCUAAAUAAAUAGGCUGACUCAGAACAAGUUUAAUGGCUAGGGCUGGGAAGCUGAGGCCAUAUUGCAUGCAACGUAUUAUCCCAUAUUUUACUCAGGACUGACAGAUCCUGACCCCAAGCAUGACAUUUCACCUAACCCUAACCAUCUAUGACCUAAAUCUAACAGGAGUGUUUCAUUGGCUGAGCUUUUGGAGGGUGGUGCUCAGUCUGGAAGGAGCAGCAGCCAUGAAUGCUACAUAAUCUUCAGACAGAUGAUAAUAGUAAAUACAUUGCAUCUCAAAAUGGUAACAGAAAUAUGUGUUAAGAGUGAGCUCUGAAUUCUAUUUUCUGAACACAGUGAAUUAAAGAAGAAAAACAAAGACAUUCAUACAGAGUUCAGCUGAAAAUGUAGGACUGCAUGUUUCCACGGGUCAUUUAUGUUGUUGAAAGUGAAACAAAGUCAAAGAAAGAAAAGAAAGCGAACUAUUCAGCUGGAAACAAGAGAUUGCUAAGCAACAGUAAAGUGUGUCAGCAUAACUCUGUGUUUUAUAUUACAAGGCUGCUGCUUCCACACCACAGAGAACAAAACUAUGUUGUGGGUUCCUCUGAGCUCUGCUGAAGACUUUAACAGACUUGUGUCUGCUCUGCUCAGUCUGUGUUCCUACUGAUCCGUCUCUGCUCUGGGAUCUAACAGACAGAAAAUAAUCUUUUUAUUCACAGGGUUACACAUCCAGUGUCUGCGUGUGAGUGUGACAGCUCAGGUGUCAAAUGUGUGUUUAUGUACACCUGUUUCCAAUUUGCUGACAUCUCUUCAGUUUAAAGCCUAGAUGCCAAAUUCACUGUGAUUCAGUCUUCACAGUGGAGUGUGAUGCCUUGAAGGGCCUGUCAAUCAAGGCGAACUCCCACACACAUGCCCCAAUUUAAAGCUCAACACACUCUUAUUGGGACAGUUAUAAUUACCCACAUGCACAGUGGAGUUUUGGUUAUAAAACUGAAACUUUUCCAAAGUUAUUUUGUUUAGAGAAGUUUGAGUAUCUAUCUUAUCUGCAACUGGAUCAUCCUUCCAACAUAAGCAACCUUACCAAAGCUUCAAGGUUUGAGAAGUAAACAUUUUGUUGUUGUACAUCAAGGUCUGUGCAUAUGCAAAAACCUACAUGUGGUACAACAUGUGACAAAGUAUAUUCAGCAUGAGACAAAUACAGGAGAAAUUGCUGAAGGGGUUGUUGUGCCUAAUUAAGACUGAGGUUGUUUUUAUGUGCAGCUUGAAGGUGAAGGAUCAUAUUAACUAGUCAUUCUUAACCUUUCAAACAUGAGCGCCUGUUGUAGUAGCAAUGUCUCUUUUAUGGCCCCCAAUCACAUGUUGCGUACAUCAAUAAAAUGUGAACUGUAGAAACAAA